AUUACAAGCUCUUUCAUUCUUUGUAAAUAUCAUCAAAGACAUGACAUCACCAGCAUAACAACUCCAUGAUUUGUAUCUAAAAAAGUCAUAUCACUGAGUUGCCAGUUAAUGCAGCUGCAACAGGUGGUCGGUGGCUUUGCUGCUGGAUGGCUCUUUUUUGCCCAAAUCCAGCAGCUUCUCAAAGGCGCCCUCUGGAACGUCACACAGCACCCUGAAGCAAACAUGUGAUUUCACUACCAUAUUGAACUCAAGUAGAACAGGAUCGCUGUCAUCCAAAGUGACGAGUUCUCGGGUGGCAAAUUUCAACACUAGACAUUCCAGUUUGUCACACAUUUCCUGAGACAACUCCAACAGCUGUUCAUGCUAAACACACGCAUGCAUGAGGUCUGAAUAAAUAGCCUGGUACUCCAGACUCACCGCUGUUGCAGCCAUUGAGUCUGGCCACCAUUAAGCGAAUAAAAUUUCCAGGGCGGAGCAAGCCACAGCAAACAGACAGCGGAGUGGACCAAUCAGCGACGGGCGGGACGAGGGACUUGCGCGCGGAAGUAAACAUACGUGGAGAGCUGAGUUUAUUCAACAUGGCUAGCAUGAGACAGACUGUUGUCAAUGACUUGCGUUGAUGUGUUUUUGGUAAUUUAAAACUGAUUUUACCGUGGAUUGGAGCAUAUUCUUGGCUCUCCUGUUCGCCAUCUGUGUUGUUGUGGAGACUACUUCCAACGCGGAAGAGUGACGUUGCUCGUUAAGAACACUUCACACAAAUAAACAAAUUAGGGCUGUCAAACGAUUACAAUUUUUAAUCGAGUUAAUUACAGCUUAAAAAUUAAUUAAUCGUAAUUAAUCUCAAUUCCAGCCAUCUCUAAAAUAUGCCAUAUUUUUCUGUAAAUUUUUGUUGGAAUGGCAAGAUAAGACACACGACGGAUAUAUACAUACAACAUACUGUACAUAAGUACUGUAUUUGUUUAUUGUAACAAUAAAUCCACAAAUGGCAUUAUUAACAUUCUUUCUGUUAAAGUGAUCCACGGGUAGAAAGACUUGUAGUUCUUAAAAGAUAAUUGUUAUAGUUACAAGUUAUAGUAAUUUUAUAUUAAAACCCCUCUUCAUGUUUUCGUUUUAAUAAAAUUUGAAAAAUUUUCAAUCAGAAGUAGAGUUAAUAUAAUAAGAAGAAGAAUAAAAAUAACAAUAAUAAAAAUAGAGUGACCAAAGUCUAAGUUUUACGUGUAUUUUGCAUAGCUAUUUUGAUACGGAAUGCCAGUUCAUUUUGCAUUGUUGUUUAACUGUGUCAGAAUAGGGCCUCAUUACUAUAGACCAGGGGUCCCCAACCUAUUCCACUAAGGCACACUGUGGGUGCAGGAUUUCAUUCUUACCAAACAAGAUGACAACACUUUUUCCCCAAUCUGGUGUUUUACAAGUGCAAUCAGUUGAUUGCAGUCAGGUGUGGCUUGUUUUAGCAGAAGCCUCAUUGGUUCAACUGUCUCUGCUGGAUCGGCUGGAACAAAAACCAGGACCCACAGUGUGCCUUGAGGACUGGGUUGAAAACCCCUGCUAUAGACUGAAGUGCUUUUCUUUUUGUGAACGUUAUUUUUUUUGGAGAGAGAGGAAUAUUAUUUUUGUUGUGCUUUCACUAAACGAUACUUAUGUUUGUUGUGAAGGAGUUGCCGAAGCUUAUGCUAAUAAACGGCGCUGUCCAAAGAACGCCUGUGUCCACUCGCCUUUACUGUAUAACAUAUAUCUGUACAUAUCUUACCCAAAAUACAACAAGAGACACAUAAUUGCCACUAAAAGAAAGAAAACUUACCGAAAUAUGUGUGGAGCACGAAUAGCAAUUUGCAUUGCAUUGUGAAUACAGCAUAAACUACUAAUUCUCCCACUUUUAGAAGAAAUAACAUGAGUAUGGAACGGCACUGCCCCCAAGCGGCCGGUGGCAUUCUCUUCACUCUUAAUGUCCAUAAACGGCCUCAUUGUAAUCUGUUUGAGGCAAUGCGCGAGCGGGUCAUUUAGUGCAUGCGUUAACUGCGUCAAAUAUUUUAACGUGAUUAAUUUAAAAAAUUAAUUAACGCCCGUUAACGCGAUAAUUUUGACAGCCCUAAAACGAAUCUAAUUUGUCGAUUGAUUUUGUACUUGCUCGAGAGGCCGUUAAUGGGCUUGGGUCCCAGACUAUUCUCUCAGUGUUUGAAAAACACAGGGAGAACAGUCUGGCCGUGCCAGGCAACUGAAUAAAUACUUUGACAAAAAAAAAAAAAUUUUUUUCUUUUAGUUGUUUUGGGGGGGGGGCGCUAAUUCGCGAUUUCUCACUUACCACGGCGGGUGCUGGUCCCCAUUAACCGCGAAAAAUGAGGGAUCACUGUAUGCCAGUCAGGCUGCUUGCUCAUUCAGAGCAGAAAAAAAUCAUUCAUGACUGCAUAAUCAAAUAAAAUUCCCAUAAAUCAAAUUUUUCAGACAAUAAAUUGCACCUGAGAAUCAGUCACAGGCCCAGCCAAACUAUGAAAAAAUUGCAAAUUAAAGUCCCGAAAGUAUGUAAAUAUUGAUGUCUUUACCACUGCGUCUAUAUAGUUUAGAGAUAGACCGAUAACAGCACUAUCCAACAUGCGAAAGAGAAACUGUCACUUCAAAUAACAAUAUUGAGGUUAGGUACCUUGUUCUUAUUGUCAUAAAACAAUGCAUUUCUGCCGUUGGAUUCCAGGAAGUGAAAAUAAGGCUGGCAUGCAGAGAUGAAACUCCUCAACACUCCAACCUGAGCUUUUCUGUACUCAUAUUCGAGACUGCAACUGAACACAUACAAUGAUUUAAUUAUCCUAUUUUCUUGUGUAUUUUAUCGAGACAAAUUCACUACCCUUGGAGUCCGAAGAGAUGAGGCGUCAUAGACGGGGAGUUCGAUUUGCAGCAACUUGGCGAUAGAUGGCCACACUGUGGCGCCAACGCCUCUGAAAAGAAGAUUGUGUUUUUUAAUUACAAUAUGCGUGAAGGCCUACUGUACUGCGUUUGCCAGGAUGAGUAUUUCCCGUCAAUCUUUAAUUGCAUCAAUUAAAAUUUUAUUAGUACUAUAAUUGUUUACAAGACUUCCAAUAAAUAUAAUUUGUCCGCUAAAAGUGGGAAUGAAUGGUGAACUUUAAGGGCUUUUUUGUGGUCGGCAAGUCACCCACUCACCGUCAUCGUCACCGCAGGCCACCUGCGGUACUUUUUGCGUCGACGUACCCGGGAGAGGUUCAACCACCUUAGCUUGGACGUCUGUCGUUUCCGCUGACAUUCUCAGUUUUUUCCCCAAAAGUAUCUAAUUUUCAAAGCCCUCUUAAUUUAAAGAGGCGGUAACAUGUCGUCGUUGCAAUGCUAAAGGCUAUGCUAACCAGUAAUAUGGCGUUGAUGUAAUUACAAUUUAGUGCUCACCGAAGUUAACGUAUAAA